AACGAACGCUGGUGGAGUGUCUUAUACAUGCAAGUUUUAGCGAGGACGUAGCAAUACGAGCCGAGCGGCGAAUGGGUGAGUAACGCGUAAGCAAUCUGCCCCGCAUUCCGGAACAACCGUGCCAACGCGCGGCUAAUGCCGGGAGCCGUGGCGGUCCACAUGGGCCGUUGACGAAAGAUUUAUCGAUGCGGGAUGAGCUUGCGUCCGAUUAGCUAGUUGGCGGGGCAACGGCCCACCAAGGCGACGAUCGGUAGCCGGCCUGAGAGGGCGAUCGGCCACAUUGGGACUGAGAGACGGCCCAGACUCCUACGGGAGGCAGCAGUAGGGAAUAUUGCGCAAUGGGGGCAACCCUGACGCAGCAACUCCACGUGUGGGAUGAAGCAUUUCGGUGUGUAAACCACUGUCGAGAGGGAAUAAUGCGAUUCUUCGGGAUCGUUGAAUGUACCUUUAAAGGGAGCACCGGCAAACUUC
rnacentral:rRNA from 1 species